rnacentral:rRNA from 1 species
UAAGGAGGGUGCAAGCGUUAAUCGGAAUUACUGGGCGUAAAGCGCGCGUAGGCGGUUGGGUAAGUCAGAUGGGAAAGCCCCGGGCUUAACCUGGGAACUGCAUUUGAUACUGUCUGACUCGAGUAUGGUAGAGGGGGGUGGAAGUCCCGGAGUAGCGGUGAAAUGCGUAGAUAUCGGGAGGAACACCAGUGGCGAAGGCGGCCCCCUGGACCAAUACUGACGCUGAGGUGCGAAAGCGUGGGGAGCAAACAGG